UACGUAGGGUGCAAGCGUUGUCCGGAAUUAUUGGGCGUAAAGGGCUCGUAGGCGGUCCAUCACGUCGGGAGUGAAAAGCUGGGGCUUAACCCCAGUCCUGCUUCCGAUACGGGUGGACUAGAGGUAGGUAGGGGAGAACGGAAUUCCGGGUGUGAGCGGUGGAAUGCGUAGAGAUCCGGAAGAACACCGGUGGCGAAGGCGGCCUGCUGGGCAGUGGCUGACGCUGAGGCGCGACAGCGUGGGGAGCAAACAGG
rnacentral:rRNA from 1 species